GCCAGACAUGGUGGCGCAUGCCUGUAGUCCCAGCUACUCGGGAGGCUGAGGUGGGAGGAUUGCUUGAGCCCAGCAGUUCUGGGCUGUAGUGUGCUAUGCUGAUCAGGUGUCCGUACUAAGUUUGGCAUCAAUAUGGUGACCUCCUGGGAGCGGAGGACCACCAGGUUGCCUAAGGAGGGGUGAACUGGUCCAGGUUGGAAACAGAGCAGGUCACAACUCCUGUGCUGAUCAGCAGUGGGACUGCGCCUGUGAAUAGCCACUGCACUCCAGCCUGGGCGACAGUGAGACCCCAUCUCU
rnacentral:SRP_RNA from 1 species